AAUCUAUGGUGCGGCCAUUUUUGAAUCAAUAUUUGAAACGUUCCCAUGCGUCAUAAAAACUUUGGCCCUCUAUUUGUCUAAAAACAACAAUCUCUCACCUUACUUU
rnacentral:snoRNA from 1 species